AUUUUUAUAGUGUAAAAUAAACACAUUACAUUUUCACUGUAAAGCCGAAUUUAAUUAAUUCUAAAAACG
rnacentral:tRNA from 2 species